AUUGAACGCUGGCGGCAGGCCUAACACAUGCAAGUCGAACGAGUGGCCGGCGGGUGAAUAAUUUCUGGGAAGCUGCCCGAUGGCGGGGUAUCACUCCUGACAACGGUAGCUAAUACCGCAUACCAUCUGAUGCCCCCAGAUGGGAUUAGCUAGUAGGUGGGGUAACGGCUCACUUAGGCGACGAUCCCUAGCUGGUCUGAGAGGAUGACCAGCCACACUGGAACUGAGACACGGUCCAGACUCCUACGGGAGGCAGCAGUGGGGAAUAUUGCACAAUGGGCGCAAGCCUGAUGCAGCCAUGCCGCGUGUAUGAAGAAGGCCUUCGGGUUGUAAAGUACUUUCAGCGAGGAGGCGUUACUCGCAGAAGAAGCACCGGCUAACUCCGUGCCAGCAGCCGCGGUAAUUC
rnacentral:rRNA from 1 species